AAAGAUUUCUCCCCACCCCCCAAAAAGUGUAAAAAUGCUACUCCUCACUAAUUUUGGGGGGAAAAUAAUUUUUAUGAAAAUGUCAUUAUACAUUUUUGAGUUAUCAAAGUGUAAAUGAGGACUUUUACCAUUUCUGAAAAGCAGGGAUCUUAGUACCACUCACGUCUUUGUGCUAUUGCUGUCAAUUAUAUUAAUUCUCUGUAUCAUUUAAAGCCUACAGUGACUUGGCCAAAGUACUGGGCCAGGAGAGCCUGACUGUCCUGGCUGCAGCAGGGCUCCUCCUUGCAGCCCUCUGCUCCAAACUCACCCAAGUAUUUCCUCGGCAGUAUUUCCUGCAGAGGAUUCUGGGAGUUGUGGUUCUUUCUGCCCGCAGGUCCCACUGACACAUUUCCUGUGUCUCUAUCUGUCGCCAUUGGCUCAGCCAGGCCGGGAGAGCUUCGUUCCGCAGCUAGUGUCCGUUACCUAUGACAAUGAACUAAAUAGGAGUGGUCUGUUCUCAUCUUACCUGAGGGCUGUCGCACAAGUGCCGCGGGGCGGGGGGACCUCAAAAUCAAGAGUGAGAAAGAAGACGAUCUGGCUGAAGAACUGGGAGAUGAGGUGGAGGCGGCUAAUCUCCUGCAGUCCCCACUGCCCAUUCAGGGGUUGAAGGAGUGGGACAUGCUGAAUUCCUCCAUUUUCAAGGGGGAAAUGAGGACACAGAGACACAUACAGAGGAAGAUGAUGUGAAGAGACACAGAUAGAAGACAGGUCUACAAGUCAAGGAGACAGGCCUAUCCUUCCCUCACAGCCCUCAGAAGGAACCAAUCCUACUAACACCUCGAUUUUGGACAUGUAGCCUCCAGAACUGUGAGACAAUAAAUUUCUGUUCUUUAA